UACGUAGGGUGCAGGCGUUAAUCGGAAUUACUGGGCGUAAAGCGUGCGUAGGCGGUCUUUUAAGUCAGAUGUGAAAUCCCCGGGCUUAACCUGGGAACUGCGUCUGAUACUGGGUGGCUUGAAUUCGGGAGAGGGAUGCGGAAUUCCAGGUGUAGCGGUGAAAUGCGUAGAUAUCAGGAGGAACACCGAUGGCGAAGGCAGGUCUCUGGGCCGAUACUGACGCUGAGGAGCGAAAGCGUGGGGAGCGAACAGG
rnacentral:rRNA from 1 species